rnacentral:misc_RNA from 1 species
GUGAAGAACGCAGCGAAAUGCGAUAAGUAAUGUGAAUUGCAGAUUUUCAGUGAAUCAUCGAAUCUUUGAACGCACCUUGCGCUCCCUGGUAUUCCGGGGAGCAUGCCUGUUUGAGUGUCAUUAAAUUCUCAACCCCGAUCGGAUUUGUUUUCGCAUUCGGAGGCUUGGAUAGUGGAGCGUGCUGGCCCCCUCUCAUGGGUCGGCUCCUCUCAAAUGCAUUCGCGGAAUCGACUUUGGUCCAUUUCGGUCAUCAGUGUGAUAAACGUUGCGCUGUUGGCUAGGAUCGAGGUGCCGCAUACAAUGGUCUUCGGACAAUUUUAUAAACCAUUUGACCUCAAAUCAGGUAGGACUACCCGCUGAACUUAAGCAUAUCAAUAAGCGGAGGA